rnacentral:tRNA from 1 species
UCGGAUAUGGUGUAACGGCUAACAUUGCCGCCUCUCAUUGUGAGGGAUACGCGGCAGCUCGGGGUUCGAUUCCCCGUAUCCGAG